CCCAACUCCUUCUAGGCAGUUUCUUUUUGCUAACCAGUCGCCAUUUACAGCUGUCUGAAAGGUAAACGAGGCUGUGGGUAUGGAGUGGCGGCUUAGAAUUUGGCAAAUCCUUUUUUUUUUCCUUAAACUUUGUAACAAAGGGGACAAAAAAGCAUGGGGAGGUGGGGUGGGCACAAAGGUAUAGUCUGGGUUUUAGCAAUGGUGUUGGACAGAGGGGACAAAACCCAGGUUAUCUAAAGCGGAAGGUUUGGCCUAAUGUGGUUACGUUUUUGUACAUUAAGCAGAUGACACUAACCCUUGCACUCAUUUUACGGGUGUCCCUGGAGUCCAGGCUGAGAACUCUAAACUACCCUGAAGCUCCAGGUGAAACUGUGUGCCUUCAGCGAGCGCAGCAUCUGCUGUCAGGAUGGAUCAAGAUAAUCUACCUCCCCGUGGCCCCGUGGCCCCGCGGCCAGCAACCCUGCAGUCUGACCCAGGUGAGUCCUUUCCUCAGCUGUGACUCAUCUGCCCCAUGCCCUGCUUUUUUCCCCUUUGGAAUGUACAGAAAGCUUUUUUUUUUUCUUCUUUUUUUAAGCAAUGCACAAAGGCACUCAAUAGACCCUGCUCUGGGCCGGCCCAGGCCUCGCCCCCACCGAGACCCUUGGCCUAGUCCGAGGCUCCCAACGGGGCGACGCGGACAGCUGGUGGCUUGCAGCUGCCGAGUCCGGACGAACGGAGAGGGGCGGGGACUAGGGCAGUAAAUGUCAGGACAAUGGCGUCCCUUGCCGCAGGGACCCCCGGACGCUCAUAGCAAUCUGGGCGAGUCCCGGGAGCCUCAGCCUGCACCCUGGGGCGCCGACCAGCUCCCGCCCCCACCACUAGCAAAGACCCGGCAGUGGCCCGGUCGGGAGGCACGCAGCUCAGGCGGGCGGCUAAGGGGCGUUAACAGGCUGUGGAGCGCCGGCUGCGGUGCCUGGCUUCACACUGUCCCGCACCCACGGCCGCACUCACCGAACCGCGGGGCAGAUCGGUCCGGGAAGCCGCUGUCAAG
rnacentral:lncRNA from 1 species